UUAGAGCUGCUAUGCUUCCAGCAGUUCCUACUUCCUUCAUGCACAGUGCCUUGGUUGUUAUUUCCCUGAGCUGGGCAGCAGGAGUCACGAUGGGAGCAGGUCUGUGCUGAGUUGCUGCUGUGCAGAGAACCCCAGCCCAGCCCAGCCCAGCAGCCUGCAGCAGCAGUUUGCCCAGAAAUGGUUCCGGUGUGGUUCACCACACUGUCACAGGAGCUGUUGAAAUGAAACAGAGGGAACGCUGCAGGAAGAGAGGAGUGGUAACCUGGGCCAGCAUCACACACUGCAUCUCCACUCUGUGAAAGGAUCAGUUU
rnacentral:lncRNA from 1 species